GAUGAACGCUGGCGGCGUGCUUAACACAUGCAAGUCGAACGGGAAUUACUUUAUUGAAACUUCGGUCGAUUUAAUUUAAUUCUAGUGGCGGACGGGUGAGUAACGCGUGGGUAACCUGCCUUGUACAGGGGGAUAACAGUCAGAAAUGACUGUUAAUACCGCAUAAGCGCACAGGACCGCAUGGUCCGGUGUGAAAAACUCCGGUGGUAUAAGAUGGACCCGCGUUGGAUUAGCUUGUUGGUGGGGUAACGGCCCACCAAGGCGACGAUCCAUAGCCGGCCUGAGAGGGUGAACGGCCACAUUGGGACUGAGACACGGCCCAGACUCCUGCGGGAGGCAGCAGUGGGGAAUAUUGCACAAUGGGGGAAACCCUGAUGCAGCGACGCCGCGUGAAGGAAGAAGUAUCUCGGUAUGUAAACUUCUAUCAGCAGGGAAGAAAAUGACGGUACCUGACUAAGAAGCCCCGGCUA
rnacentral:rRNA from 1 species